CGAAGCCACAACCCUGAGAGAGUUGAUAAACACAAUUUUAAUGGAGCACAUUUAAUGAAAUCACAGAAAUUUUUAAGUUGACAAUCACCUUAUGACAGAUUUAGGAUAUCAAACAAUUUUACUAUUAUUAUUGUUAUUAUUCAAAAGAAAGUUUCUUUGUUCUGAGAAAAGAGGAAAAUAAUAGUGGCUGCUCUUCUGAACAAGAAAGCUACAUGAGUGAUCUCAUAAGAUUUCCUCUGCAUCUGAUAAUGAUAAAAACCAGAAGUCUAGCUGCGGG
rnacentral:misc_RNA from 1 species